AUUGAACGCUGGCGGCAGGCCUAACACAUGCAAGUCGAGCGGAAGAAGGGAGCUUGCUCCUGGAUUCAGCGGCGGACGGGUGAGUAAUGCCUAGGAAUCUGCCUGGUAGUGGGGGAUAACGUCCGGAAACGGGCGCUAAUACCGCAUACGUCCUGAGGGAGAAAGGGGGGGAUCUUCGGACCUCACGCUAUCAGAUGAGCCUAGGUCGGAUUAGCUAGUUGGUGGGGUAAAGGCCUACCAAGGCGACGAUCCGUAACUGGUCUGAGAGGAUGAUCAGUCACACUGGAACUGAGACACGGUCCAGACUCCUACGGGAGGCAGCAGUGGGGAAUAUUGGACAAUGGGCGAAAGCCUGAUCCAGCCAUGCCGCGUGUGUGAAGAAGGUCUUCGGAUUGUAAAGCACUUUAAGUUGGGAGGAAGGGCAGUAAGUUAAUACCUUGCUGUUUUGACGUUACCAACAGAAUAAGCACCGGCUAACUUCGUG
rnacentral:rRNA from 1 species